UGAGAGGUUUGGUCUAGAGCAGGAAUAAGGAAUGGAUGUCAAGUAUAGUGCUUUUCCAACUGAUUUCCAGUGGCUGCUUGAAGUGCUGGGUUGUCUCAAGUUCCAAGGCCCUAUCUGGGCUCAUUAGGAAGUAACUGCAAUGGCUGCCAUAGUCACGGUGGUGGGGGAGGGGGGAAUGGCAGUGUUGUGCCACCUGCUUUCAUCCCUAGUCUACAGGAGCUCAAAGGUCCCUGAUAAAAUUUUCCAUUUAUAACUCUGUGACUCAGUGCAAUAUCGUUUUACUUAUCUUUGGCAUGAGGCCUGUCUUCAUACACAGCAACUUUCUCAUCUGCUUUAUUUAGCACCUCAGCAGCCAUCACCUGAGAAACUUUCUGAAUUACUGUGUUUCAAGUGGAGCAACUUUACAACAAAACAAACAUAUUUAUUGAUUUGUCACAGUCCAGAAAGCUGCUUCCCGUCCCCAGGGGUCCGGCAAAGCAGGAGGUGGAGGUGAAAAAUGAAGCUAACGGCAGUUCUAGACUGAGCCAUGAGAUGUGUGCAAACAUUUAGAUGGCCCCAUCCGCAGCCAUCAUUCCCAUGGUUUUCCCUCCAGUCUGCUGGAGCUGUCACCAAGAGCAGACGUUCCUGCCUGACUGGGAGGCCAGCUAAGCUCAUCAGAUUUGGGGGCCUGACGCCUCAUCUGCUGCUCCCCCCAAGCAUGCAUCCGCUCUGGCUUUCUAAACUAUGCAGUGUUCCUCACACGUGGUCUUAUUUCCGUAAGCCUCCCUGGCUUUGAACCAAGAAUGUUUCUGCAAGGAAUGCCCUUCCUCCCCACAACUGAGAAUUCCUAGAUAUCAUCCAAAAUACAGCUCAACUGUCACCUCUUCCAGGAAGCCGGCUGAGAAAUGUGAAGGGUCUAAGACUUCACCCUGCUUGCAAAGUGACAAGUGAACCUUCCACAGCUUCAAGGAUGGCAGCAGAAGACAGGAGACCCCUGGGUCAGAGACAAAGGACCUUACUGCUGACAACACAGAAGUAGUAUGAGCUUCAUGUCUGUGACGGGUCCCCUUGGCUUCAAGUCCCAUGGGGCAACCAAGGGGGGGCCCAGGUGGGUGCUGUGCAUUCAGUGGGUGUGCAUCAGAGCUGAGGAAUGUCCGGCUUAGAAAACCCAAAUCUUUUAUAACAGACUGCAGUCAAACCUGCCCUCUGCCCAGGAGGAAGAGCCAUCUCUGUCUUCCAAGGCUGCUUGCUGUACAAACAUCCUUGAAAAGACAGUCUGGAGCAAAAGGGCAAUUAGUGCCUCUGUUUAUAAAAUGAGCACAAAUGCCACAGAGUAGGAAGGACUGUCUCCCAAAAAAGUCCUCCCUGGCUACCUGAUAUGGCAGCUGCAUGGUGCUCCCUCCCACCAUGCCCUGUAUGACCUCUGCCUUGGGAAGAAAUAUGAAUUCACGUUAUGACCUGUGUAUUUUUUUUUUGGUCUACUACCAGCCUGGGUGCUCUCUGAAGUCAGGGACUGUCUUUUCUGUUUAUCUGUCAGACACAAAGAAGUGCUCAAUAAAUGUGCAAAUAAAUGAAUAAGUUGAAUAAUUAAUAUUGGGAAUUUUGACAGCUGUGGUUUUGGGGUAAUCAGAUAAGGACAGCAAAUGUCUGGCAUUUACUGACUGCUUACUCUUACGUUCUACACAAUGUGUGGCUUUUUUUUUUUUUAACCUGUAUUAUUUUUAUCUUAUCUGCAGGGCAACACUACAUGGAAGGUACUUUCAUUAAUACUGCUGUACCUAUGGAGAAACUAAGGCUUAGAGCAGUUAAGGCAUUUAAUCAAAAUCACACAGCUCAUAAGCCAUAAGGCCCGCACUUUGAACUGGAUCCGCCUGGACCCAAGCCCUUAGCCACCCCACUGAAAUGCUUCUCCUACAGGAGGCAACCAAGCAUUUGUCUGGAGUGUGGGGGGAGAAGGAAGGAGGCAAUGCUUAUCUUUUCGUGUUUACAGGGGUGGAGGCAGUCGCCUGCACAUCACUGUCACCCCCUCCCCAGGGUGACUUGUACACUGAACGCUGGGAUAGUUUCCACCAGAACUUCACACCUUCCUAAUCUGCCCCACAGUGGGGCGGAUGCUUUUUGGUCUUGGGAACAGUCUGGAAUGCAAAACUGACCUUGCUCCCUGAAAAGGGGAGUAAGGAUGAGAUAAAUCUGUGGAGCCUCUAUUUGCUACAACUUCUAACACGCAGACAGCCAUUGCCCUGAACCUACUGGUAUCCAAAGAAAUAGAAAUAAAAAAAAGGCUCUAGAUGAUCACCCGUUGUAACACCCACUAUAGAUGAGGGUUGGUGGAAUACAGUCUCAGAAAUUGCUAAGAAUAAAAGUAGUACAAUCUUUCUGGAGGAAAAUACGGCACUAUCUCUCAAAACGUUAUAUAUGCACACCCUUUGGCUUAUUUAGCAAUUUAAUUUUUAAAAGUUACACAAUGAAAAUACUUGCAAAAUCAUUUAAAAAUAUAGACAGAUGUGGGGUGCCUGGGUGGCUCAUUUGGUUAAGCGUCAGACUUCGGCUCAGGUCAUGAUCUCACGGGUCAUGAGUUCGAGCCCCGAGUCGGGCUCUGUGCUGACAGCUCAGAGCCUGGAGCCAGCUUUGGAUUCUGUGUCUCCCUCUCUGUCUGCCCCUCCCCUGCUCAUGCUCUCUCUCUGUCUCUCAAAAAUAAAAAAAAAUGUUAAAAAAAUUUUUAAAAAUAUGUAGACAGAUGAUUAUGGCAAAAUUAUAAAUAAUUCAUAUGCUCCUCUUAAAAACAUUUUUAAAAUAUAGAGAUAAAGGAAAAGUCUCUGCAAAUUUCAAUUCCUCCAGAGAUAUCUACUAUUAAUGAUUUAGCAUAUAUUUUGCUCAGCUUUUUAGGCAUACUUUUCUUUCUAAAAAUAAGGUAUUUUUAUAUGCUGUAUGUGUAAAGUGUAUUUUAUAUACUUUAUAUAGUAUACACACUGUUCUGCGAUUGCUUUUUUCACUUAACAUUGAAUUGAAGACAUCCUUUCAUAUUAACUUCUAUGAAACCUAAAUGAAACUCAUUUGUGUUAACUUCAUAGUAUUUUCAUGUUGCAUGUGGCAUCAUGCAUAUUUCAUGAAUUCCUUCUCGAAGGAUACUUAGGUCGAGGACAGUACAAUUUAAUACAGCCAGGUUAUAGCUCAAAGAGAAAUGCCUACUUCUUCUUCAAAUCCACUCACCCACAUCAACUUUAUUUGGGACUGUUUAUCCAUUUCUCAGAAUGAUCCAGAACUCUUCGAUUUUUCCUAAAUUUUUUUUCCUGCUGUAUUAAGGCAUGAGGGCCCUAAACUUGGCCAGAAAUCACAAAGUCAACUCAAACUAUAAAUCUAGAAAUGCAAACAUACCCAGAUGUUUGGUUACAGGACUGGAGACCUGCACAUUCACACAAGACUAUGCUAUCACCCUUACAACCCGAAGUCGGCUGUUUUCUAUAGAAACCAGUAUACAUCCUGCCAGCUUCCCGUAACUUGUCAGCGCCUGACUGUCACCUAUUCUUGUCAUUCACUGUGUCCCAUCCUUCCUUCAGUGUGUAUCCCCAAUGCCCAAACCAGACACAAAUGACUGGCAAGGACAAGAUGGGGGCAGGGUGAGUCAACCUGAGCACAGAGCUUCUGGCAAAGCCCAUGACUCAGAGGGUGAGGCAGGCCUCAGAAGAACUUAGCCCCAGGCUUUAAACAUCAAAGCAAAGAAGCCAGUGGAGGCCUUUUACACAUAACCUCAGCUGCCAAGCAAAUUCCAUUCUUUUUCCAACAGGUUGCUGGGAACCAGGGGAGAAGCCAAUUAGAACCCAGUUUUAAUUACUUUUCAAUAAUAACAAGCCUUACAAAGAGCUUUUAUAAACCCUGCCUUCCUAGAUUCUCACCCAAUUUUGUCAACCAGAGAUUAUUAGCCCCAUUUGAUAAAUGAAGAAACCGAAUCACAGAGGUCAGAAUUUGUAAGGGUCAGGGCAGGGUUUGAACCCAGGUUCAGACUACCUUGUUCAGACUUCAAUCAGCCUGGACACAGACAGGGAAGGGCUGUAUUUCCCAGGACUUGGCCACCCCUGCCUCCCUGUCCAACAGGACUCCCAACAGGAGGCAAGGACUUUGGGAGCUGACCGAGUUUCUCUAACAGACUCAUGCCCUGCCCAAUGCAUUUCUUUUAAAAUACACCUCCAGUGACUUGUUAUCAUGGUGCCCUCAGCAAUUCCACUAAAUUGAUAAGGGCGACUCCAGCAUCAAAUAUCAGGGGAUGGGGAGUAAAUGAAGCUGGUACCCCACCUGUGUUGACUCUGUGAUGAAUGAACGGUUGGAAGCAAAGGAGAACCUGAGGCCUAAUGGAGAAGGGGGUCAACUAACCUCCUUUCUUCUCUCACAUGCUUGGUGGGUCUGUCUCUCAGGGCUUUGAGGUGACCAGAUGUUUACCAUUCAAGGGGAAACAAACCAACAUAAGUCUUCAAAAAGUCCAGCCAUGGUUUACCAUUCUACUUCCCCAGCCUUUGACACAAAAAACAAAGUACCCUCACAAAAGAGAAGACAUUUGGUUUCACACUUGUGGAGAAUUCCCUUGUCACUGUCCAUAGACCACCAUCUCUAGUAAAAAAAGGCACUGUCUGCAUUGAUCAUUCUCUGGGACAAGGGAGUCUUGGUCACUCAAACUGCUACCAUCUGGAUGUUUUGGGUAGUGAAAUGUACCUGUGGUCUCCUAAGUCUUGAGUGGUAUCUUGGAGUUGGUUGUACGUGAUUGGAUGUGUAGGUUCAAACUAGGUAUAGUCAGCUGGAAAAACAAACUCACUCUUCUAGAUCAUAUUCGAAUGUGAAAACAGAAAAGACAGCAAAUGCAUGAUGUGCUAAGCUUUGUAGUUGUGAACCGUAUUUUAAUGAGAGGACAUGUCCCUUCAAAAUGGUGCCUUGGCUAAUUGGGCGAGAUGCUUCAUGUUUGGGGACACUGUUCUAUAAAUAAAAGCUUCUCGUUUCUGCAUAAUGGCUUGUCCGCUCUCUGGCUUCCGGCACGCCACUUUCUUCCUAACCCCUCCGCUCAAAAGUAGCCCAACAUCAAUCAGCCCACCCACUGG